rnacentral:rRNA from 1 species
UACGAAGGGGGCUAGCGUUGUUCGGAAUUACUGGGCGUAAAGGGCGCGCAGGCGGCCGCUCAAGUCAGAUGUGAAAGCCCCGGGCUCAACCUGGGAACUGCAUUUGAUACUGAGUGGCUAGAGUUCGGGAGAGGAGAGUGGAAUUCCCAGUGUAGAGGUGAAAUUCGUAGAUAUUGGGAAGAACACCGGUGGCGAAGGCGGCUCUCUGGACCGAUACUGACGCUGAGGCGCGAAAAGCGUGGGGAGCAAACAGGG